rnacentral:rRNA from 1 species
ACUGAGGUCCGCGCAUCUGCUAGGAUGCUGGCGUAAUGGCUGUAAGCGGCCCGUCUUGGAACACGGACCAAGGAGUCCAACAUCUAUGCGAGUGUUUGGGUGUCAAGCCCGAACGCGUAAUGAAAGUGAACGGAGGUGGGAACCUUUCGGGGUGCACCAUCGACCGAUCCUGAUGUCUUCGGAUGGAUUUGAGUAAGAGCAUAGCUGUUGGGACCCGAAAGAUGGUGAACUAUGCUUGAAUAGGGUGAAGCCAGAGGAAACUCUGGUGGAGGCUCGCAGCGGUUCUGACGUGCAAAUGUCGACGCGGCCG